rnacentral:rRNA from 1 species
AUGCACGCUGGCGGCGUGCCUAAUACAUGCAAGUCGAGCGAACAGACGAGGAGCUUGCUCCUCUGACGUUAGCGGCGGACGGGUGAGUAACACGUGGAUAACCUACCUAUAAGACUGGGAUAACUUCGGGAAACCGGAGCUAAUACCGGAUAAUAUAUUGAACCGCAUGGUUCAAUAGUGAAAGACGGUUUUGCUGUCACUUAUAGAUGGAUCCGCGCCGCAUUAGCUAGUUGGUAAGGUAACGGCUUACCAAGGCAACGAUGCGUAGCCGACCUGAGAGGGUGAUCGGCCACACUGGAACUGAGACACGGUCCAGACUCCUACGGGAGGCAGCAGUAUGGAAUCCUCCGCAAUGGGCGAAAGCCUGACGGAGCAACGCCGCGUGAGUGAUGAAGGUCUUCGGAUCGUAAAACUCUGUUAUUAGGGAAGAACAAAUGUGUAAGUAACUAUGCACGUCUUGACGGUACCUAAUCAGAAAGCCACGGCUAACUACGUG